GAGAUCCCCCAUAACUCUGUCUUCUACAAUGAUAACUCACGUCUCAAAUAGUGGUUGCUCCGUUAGCUUAAGUCUCACAGUGAGGGUGACGUGGAGGCGGAACUGCAGCUUAUCAUCUAUAUACAUGAUGUAUGAGUGAAAAAUUAAAAUUUGUUGCUUUAGUCACUGAAAUGUGGGAGUUGUUUGUUACUACAGCAUGGCCUAUUCUGACUGAUACUAUAAGACUGUGUUAGAGGAAGCUUUUUUGGUAGAAAUGAAGGGUUUUGUUCUGAAUAAUUUAAGUCAAAAUUAUUGAAAUAUGGUGGCUUCAUCAAGUUAUAAUCUUCAGUAAAACUGGCACUAAUUGUAAAUGUAAUGAGAUUCAUUCAUUUUUCAUUUUAAAUGCUUGAACUAAACCUGGUUACUAGGAAGAAUCUGAAGUUGCUUGUCCAUAUAAAUGUAAGAGGCAGAUGGUCUUCUGCAAAGUCAACAAGUAAAGCAAUCGGUUCUCUUUUGACUUGAGGGUGCUGUGUAGAGCUGGCAGCCAAAGGUAUGUCAUACAGUUUAUUUGUUGUUGAAGGGAAAUUCCCUAAAUCCCUUGGUAAUAUCGGAGAAGGGGUUGGUACUCUCUCAGCAAUUAGGUAGUGGGGUAGAGUGGAAAGUAAAGAUUCUACCCUGUCAGAUACUUCUCUAACUAUAAGGUUUGAUCAUUAUCAUGGUCAUAACAAAAAGGAAAAUUGUUUAUGACUACUCAUGAAGCUUAACGGCCCCAUAGCCCAAACGCCAGUUUCCUUUUCCCAGACUCUGAUGCCUGAACUAUUAGAUUCCUGGUUUUCAACAAUAACCUUGACAUACAUUUAAUUCAUAUGGCUUCUUCAAUGUUAGUUAGCAAAAGAAAAUCAAAUAUAUAUUAUCUUCUAUCUUCUGC
rnacentral:lncRNA from 10 species